CACCUCUCUCCUCCACUCUUUGUCUUUGUUGAGUCAGUGUGUGAUCAUGUGAUCUGGUACUGGUGGUGUUUGCUGCACCUUCCUGUGCUCCAGAUUCUUCCAACAGGUGGAGGAGGAGGAGGUGCGGACAGAGGCUGGAGGAGGAGGAGGUGGCAGCAGCGCCAGCAGGGCCCGGCUGUAAUGACCCUGCCAGGCCGACACAACGCCCUCACCUGGGGGAGCAGCGUGGCCUUCAGAUGACAGAUGGAGGGCUGCUGAGGCAGCAGAGCUCAGGAAAUGAAGGCUCUUCAAUCGUACGCCCCACGGCGUAGAUUGAUCAGCGGGCAAACUUUACUUGCACUGAAACAGAGAAGAAAAAUAAGAACCAGGGAAGAUGGAUGGAGUGAGUGGAAAAAGUCAGAAAGGACAGGCACGAUCGAGCUCCUGAAGGUUGGAACCGCAAUUAUGCCACUAAGGAGUCUCCGAGAGACAAGGUUGUAUCGGCAAACAGACACGAGGAGCAUUACAAAGCGUGUUCUGUAUUCUGGGUGACACCGACACUCUGGGCAGACACCAUCAGUCUUCUGGAUGUCACUCAGUGCUACGUGUACGCGGCGACCGCAGUGAUCUUCUGCGAUGGUGUGUGGCGGGAAACAUUUUUAAUCGAAUUAAUCAGAGGGGAACUGUGAUGAUUAUAAA